AGAAUAUAAAGAGUAUCCUUCCAGCACAAUUAGGAUGGCUAUUUAUAUGUACUCUCUAAAACUUAGUUAAACCUCACUAUAAGAAUAUAAAGAGUCAAGUUGUAAAAUAACAUUAAAACGAGUCAAAUAACAAAUCUCAUGGCCUCUGAUGAGCCUUCCAUGGCAAUCCCCUGGCUGAUUAUGUGCCCUAACUCAUGGCUGAAGGUGAGAAUCUCAUGGUUAAGCGUGAGAUAUUUUGUUCCCUUUGCAAAUGAAGAUGUUUUGGCUCUAAUUCAUGGCUGGUUGUGAGAAUCUCAUGGUUAGGUGUGAGAUGUUUUGUCCCCUUUUGUAAAUGAAGAUAUCUUGGGACUUUAUGGGCAUUUGUUGGAGAAAUUGUUAGCAUUGAACACCAUCAACU
rnacentral:misc_RNA from 1 species